AUUAAAGCGACUAUUCGGGGAAACAAACUUAGUCUAGAUGCAUUAUCUGGUCUUCCAAAAGUUCUAUCACAGCAAUGCGAUGGUCAAGUUCUGCUUGCAUUGUCCAGUUUUGACCACUUUAAUUCGGGAAAAGCCCUGUCCUAAUAUAACAUAUAUCUAUUUUUAUAAGUCACGUGGUAUUUCGAAAACGAGGCAGUGAGAAAACAUCAACAGAAACACGUGAAUUUUUAGAGAUGUCCGAUUCAUCAAGCAGUCAAAGCAGUAACACGAUAGAUUAUGAAUAUGCACAAGUCCAUACAUCCCCAAGGAGGGGGAGGGGAUCAAGGAGGAGGGGAGGAACCUGUGGACGGCCAAGGGGUCGAGGAAGGGGUCUCGGGGCAGACAGCAGUCCAAGGAUGGAGAGAGGGCGAGGUAGAGGAAGGGGGCCAAGGGGUGCACGUGGUACAGUUGCUAUGCUGCAGCAGGAGGAUCGGGCCAGGGUACUGACAUUGCAACAGCAAAGGAGAAGGGAUCUACAUGAACCUUGCGCUCCUAUCAUACAAAGCUAAUAAUCAUAUUUUUGUAAUAUUAGUAGUGUGACUUUUUGUAUGCCACUUUACUGUUUUAUGAAUGUUAUCCACAAUUUACUUCAUCAUUCAAAUUAUUUUGACUAGUUGAUAAUCAAUUACAAAGUACCGUAUUA